GACGAACGCUGGCGGCGUGCCUAAUACAUGCAAGUCGAACGCAUUGUCUCUCAACGUGGCUUGCUACAGCGAAAGAAAGUGGGUGGCGAAAGGGGGAGUAACACGUGUGUAACCUGCGCAACAGCGAGGGAAAACAGGUGGAAACAGGUGAUAAUAUCGCAUAACUCCAUGUACCGCAGGGAAGAUGGGUGAAUGGGGCUUUUGUGGCAGUGUUGGAGCUACCUGCGGUGGAUUUGCUAGUUGGUGGGGUAACGGGCUACCAAGGCUGCGAGGCAUAGCCGACCUGGGAGGGUGGUCGGCCACCCUGGGACUGAGACACGGCCCAGGGUCCUUCGGGAAGGAGCAGGAGGGAAACUUCGGCAAUGGGUGGAAAUCUUGCCGAAGCACGCCGAGGGAGGGAAGAAGGGUUUCGGGUUCGAAAAACCUGUUUUUAGGGAAGAAAAAGGUUUGGAGUGUAAAGUUCAGCCCUUGACGGUAUCUAAUCAGAAAGCCACGGCUAACUACGUG
rnacentral:rRNA from 1 species